UUGAGCUUCACACUUCCGUAUAGUCCUGGCGGGCCCCCGCGGAGGAGCUGAGGGGGCGAGGGGCUCUUUUACCCCUGCUGGGGGGCAGAAAAUACAGGGGUGAUGAAUGCUAGAGCGGCGCUUGUUGGUUGAGACGGCAUGGGGCGAUGGACCAUCUGUUUCAGGGAUCUGAUCCAGAGGAGAAACAGAGGAAGUCAGAGGGGAGCUGGCUUCAUACAUCUUAGUGAAACAGAAACCACACGCCGGCUGAUGGACAGGUAGAUGUGGGCUGGCGGUCGUGUAUGAGUUGCCCUGUCGCAGAUGCCAUUACAGCUGCCUGGGUGGUACAUCUACACAAUAAACCCACUAUUAUAAUGCCAAUCCAGAGGACCAGGAAAAGCAGACACUUAGAGUCUGGUACUGGCGUAAUGCCUUGUUCUGGGGCACACUUGUGAGGCUUUAUAAGAAAGAUUCGGUUUUACAUGUUAUUCUUAAUUUCCAGUGAUUUACACAACUUUUUACUGCAGGCACAAUCACUCAUUUAGGGGUUUGAACCUAUAACCUUUUGGUUUACCAGUCUAAACACUAAGCCACAACCCUUGUGUAAGCAAAACUUGCAACAUAAAGUCGGGUUCAAUUUGUAGCUUAAUCUGGCCAAGAUGUGAAGAAACCAACGUUUUUGUUUUGUUUUUGUGUGUUGUUUAGAGGCGGGUUUA